rnacentral:rRNA from 1 species
AUUGAACGCUGGCGGCAGGCCUAACACAUGCAAGUCGAGCGGGGUUUUCGGACCUAGCGGCGGACGGGUGAGUAAUGCGUAGGAAGCUGCCCGAUAGAGGGGGAUACCAGUUGGAAACGACUGUUAAUACCGCAUAAUGUCUACGGACCAAAGUGUGGGACCUUCGGGCCACAUGCUAUCGGAUGCGCCUACGUGGGAUUAGCUAGUUGGUGAGGUAAUGGCUCACCAAGGCGACGAUCUCUAGCUGGUUUGAGAGGAUGAGCAGCCACACUGGAACUGAGACACGGUCCAGACUCCUACGGGAGGCAGCAGUGGGGAAUAUUGGACAAUGGGCGCAAGCCUGAUCCAGCCAUGCCGCGUGUGUGAAGAAGGCCUUCGGGUUGUAAAGCACUUUCAGCGAGGAGGAAGGGUUAGUCGUUAAUAGCGGCUAAUUUUGACGUUACUCGCAGAAGAAGCACCGGCUAACUCUGUGCCAGCCGCCGCGGUAAUAC